UUCUUUUUGCAUAGUGUCAAAGUUGGGAGUUUGGAGGGAAGUAAACAAAGGUUGGCUUAAGUAACCAUGUCAAGGUUGAAUUAAUUAAAACAUGUUUUUUUUCAAUAGCAAAAUAAGCGUACGCAAUACACACGAUAGACAAUACUCCUAUCAACAUAUUGAGAUGAUAAAACACAUACACUCACCUCUAUAAAUGCAUGCAUAUAAAUUUUACCUGGCCUAUUAGCAUCUUGACAUUGACAAAAUACGAGCCCCCCGCCAAGUUGAUGACUUAAACCAGAUAGGUAGAUUAGAGACCCAAACAACUUAAGUUAUGCUCAAAACAUGUUCCGAUUAAGCUCGGAAUGAUA
rnacentral:lncRNA from 1 species